CGAGGCGAUCAGGAAAUACUUGUUGUGUUCCUGGCUGCUGUGUUCAUGAAGACUUAAACAACAUAAAAUUUUAUAAAUUCCCCACGCAAGGCUAUAACCUCGAAAAGAGAGUAAAGUGUGUUAAAGCUGUGAAAAGAAUCAAGAGGUAAAAAGUCGGAGCAUCCUAAUAGCCCUGCAUAUCUCCCAACAAUAUUUCCUGAAAAAUAUUACGGAAAACCAAGAAUAAAUAAAUCAGAGCAAGUACAAGCACAAAGCAGAUUCGCGAGAGCAAUGCGGAGAAGUCAAAAUUCAAAUGGUUCCGAAAUGGACAACACUAAGCUUGUUAAUAUAAGAACAUGUAACGAUGACCUCAACGACAAUAAGGAUACCGAUAACCUGAAUGAUCAUAUGGAUAUACAGCAAUGUAGUGAAGUUAUCAUUGACUCACUGCAACCGCAGUUUAAAGAUGUUGCUGUACAGAUUGAUUUUCAUGAAGAAAUGAA